CCCGGCUUUGAAUCUAGAGAGAGAAAGAGACGCAUCUCCAUCGCUUCGCUCUUGCUUGUUUAUUUGCCUUGCCCUCUGAUUAUGAUGACUGUGGCGGUUCUGAUGAAUCGAUAGAGAUGAAGAUGGUGAGGUUGUGGUAGCAGGUAAGUGAUUAUGAUUAUCUGACCUUGGUGGUGUUUUCCAUACUAUACAGAAAACCCUAGCUGUCGCCUCCGGCGAUGGCGGCUAGGGUUACUCCGAUGAAGCUCCGAAAUUUUAGAGUGAGACGGAUAGGUUUCAAUUGGUGAUCUCCGGUUGGAUAUUCUUCAAGACAGAGCAUUUGUCUCUACUGCAUGACGCUUAAUGGCGAGACAUAUGAGAGCCCUAAGUACUACACGACGCUCCAGCAGGCGGAGCAUUUAGCGGCUGAGGUGGCUCUGGAUGCACUUGCGAAUCGUGGUCUGUCGAAUACAUUGGCUACUCGGAUAUUGGUGAGAUUUUCAUGGUUUCUAGGGUUUUUAUGUCUAAAUAUGUGGAAGCUGGUGUUUUAACUUUUG